AGCAUGUUAAUGUUCAGUAUUACUGUUUCCUCAUACAUACCAUAACUACAACGAAAAUGUGCGAAUCUGAAUUAAUUGUAUCUAAAAAACUUAUUUUCUAUCUACUCCAAACGGUCGACCUGGAUUAAUUAUCAAUAAAACAGAAUGAUUGGCGCACGAUCGUUCUCAACUAUGUGAACAGCUAAAUUUGCUGAAGAAUGGCUGCCAAUCUGUCGCGGGCGACCACGGAACACGUUUGGGUUACACUCAUCAACUGUACACCACUCAUCGUAUAGAAUUGGUUUAAUCGUCGGGCCUCAAAUCGCGGAUAUCGGCGGCGCCAUGGCAUGGAUAUAUCGCUACCGUCCAGAGCUAGGUCAAAAUCCAGGAUGUUGCUGAGUCGCGACAUCAUUGAAUGGAAAUUAUGGGUAACAAAGAGUCACCCAAUGUGUUUGAGUGUUUCUGCUACUUAACCUGUUGUGUAAAGUGCUGUGACGUGUGCCUUUUUCAGCGAAAUGAAUGUGUAUUAAUAGAAGGGCUGUUAAUCUGUUGCGAGCGACUACGGAAAACGUUCGGGUUACAUUCACAAACUGUACACGACUCGUCGGUAAGACGUCGGUUAAAUCGUCGGGCCUCAAACCGUGGAUAGCGGCCUUUGCAUGGAUACAUCGCUAUCGUCCAGAACUAGGUCAAUAUCCAGGAUGUCGCUGAGACAUGACAUCAGUGAAUCGAGUUUUCCGUCCUGAGCGUUACGGAGUUGAGCACAGAACGUAGGUCUAAAAAUAACGCAUUGCACACAGCAGGUAUAUGUGCGGUUCGCUCAUGCGUAUGGUUGUCACGUGAGUGAUGGACACUCAGGCGGACAUUGGCGGGAAUGUGCACGGGGUUUUCAUUGUUUGGUCAGUCCUACGCUAUACUUCGACCAGUAAACUUUUACCAGUUAUGUUUGAGUUACACAAUGUCCACAGUUACAUGUAAAUAUUGGUUGUUUUCGGGAACAUUUUUCCAGAGUAAUUUUACAUUGGGCAUCUGAUAAUUUCUGAUGAAGUUUUAUCGCUGGUUUUUACCCUGGCCUUGAAAUCCCCAUUUAAGGAUAACGAAUAGAAGUGAGGCAUACAAAUCAUAGUUGUACUGUGUUAUAUAAUUUAUAGAUCAAAGUUGUACUGUCAUGUUAUUCUAUGAUUAUACUUGAUUGUUAUAUAUUAUACAUUAUGGGAAACAAAGUGUCACCCAAUGUGUUUGAGUGUUUCUGCUACUUAAAUGUGCCAUGUAAAAGUGCUGUGACGUGUGCCUUAUUGAAAUGAAAUAAAUGUGUAUUAUUAGGUAAUUGUGUUGCUGCAUAAUUGUGUGAGAUAUUGUUUUUUUCACAACAGUUAAUUAUUGAGAUCUAUGUGAAUUUGACACAAUAACUUAUAUGUCAUUAUUGACUCAUUUUAUAUGUUUGAUACGUCAUUAAAAUAUGUCAUUUAGGCGGAAAUUCUAUGUCUUGGAGGUGAUCGGAACCAUUAGAAGUAUAAAUAGGUAACUAUAUCAUUAUGUACAUAAGUCCGGGGGAGGUAAACUUAGCAUUUUGUUGUCACAUAUCACGUAGUGCUAGUAUGUGUGAGGAUGGCAGGAAUGCUUUCAAAAUGAUUUUCGGGUUAGUAUGGGUGUUCUAGUACUCGCUCGACGGCACGGCGUGCUUAAGCGUACCUGGAAUAGCUCGUUUUGGCUUUGCUUAUAUUGUACUAUAUGUUGCACUGGAAAAACUACGGUACGGCGUACCGAGGAUUAUUUGGCCGGUUGCGGUGGCCUUAGCGAUUGCGCAUGUAUACAAUGUUGCACGGUACGGCGUACCGAUAAUUUAUUUGGCCGGCUGCGGUGGCCUUAGCGAUUGCGCUUGCAUAAUAUCUAUUUCCAAACCAGCAAGGUGUUCGUUGAGAUAGGAAUUGCAUACAUUUGCGAAAUAGCAUAGAAUGGUGUGCAUUGUCUGUUGGCGAUUAUUGCAUAAACGAGCAGCUUAAUCAAUAGUGCAACUGGGGUUGGGGCUAUCUUUAGGGCAGUACUUCCGGUCGCCUCCACGACAUAGCUCAGUUAUAGUGCUAGUCUAUAGCUGAGGUAUAUUUACUCUAGUACUAGUCUGUGUAAAUUAUAUUCCGCCAUUUGGCCAUUUAAUUCCAUUUAUAUUUUUGUAUUGUUCCUCGCGUAUGUUUUCUAUUGUUCAAAUAUAGAAUAUAAAAUGUGUUUAAGUAAGGUAUCACAUUAAAACAUUAUAAUAAAUAUGUAACUGACAAA